UAGGGAAUCUUCGGCAAUGGACGAAAGUCUGACCGAGCAACGCCGCGUGAGUGAAGAAGGACAUCGGAUCGUAAAACUCUGUUGUUAGAGAAGAACAAGGACGUUAGUAACUGAACGUCCCCUGACGGUAUCUAACCAGAAAGCCACGGCUAACUACGUGCCAGCAGCCGCGGUAAUACGUAGGAGGCAAGCGUUGUCCGGAUUUAUUGGGCGUAAAGCGAGCGCAGGCGGUUUCUUAAGUCUGAUGUGAAAGCCCCCGGCUCAACCGGGGAGGGUCAUAGGAAACUGGGAGACUUGUGUGCAGAAGAGGAGAGUGGAAUUCCAUGUGUAGCGGUGAAAUGCGUAGAUAUAUGGAGGAACACCAGUGGCGAAGGCGGCUCUCUGGUUUGUAACUGACGCUGAGGCUCGAAAGCGUGGGGAGCAAACAGG
rnacentral:rRNA from 1 species